UAGAUAAAAUCUUUAAACUCAAAGAAUUUGGCGGUACUUUAUCUAUUUAGAGGAACCUGUCCUGUAAUUGAUGGUUCACGAUUGACUUUACUUGAUUUAUUUGUUUGUAUAUCUCCGUUAUCAGGAUAUUUUAUCAGAAUUUUAAUUUCCUUAAUUUCUUAAAGAAAAUAUUUCAGGUCAAGAUACAGCUUAUAAUCGAGAAGAGAUGGGUUACAAUAAUUAUAUUUAAACGGAUAUUAUAUAGAAUAUAUAAAUUUAAGGUGGAUUUAUUAGUAAAUUUAAUUAACUUAUUUCUUUGAUAUUAGUUCUAGAGUAUGUACAUAUCGCCCGUCGCUCUCAUUAGUUUAUUAUAUUGAUAAAUAUAAGGUGAGAUAAGUCGUAACAUAGUAGAUGUAUCGGAAGAUGUAUCUAGUAAGA
rnacentral:rRNA from 1 species